UACGGAGGGUGCGAGCGUUGUCCGGAAUCACUGGGCGUAAAGGGCGCGUAGGCGGCCGUGUAAGUCACUUGUGAAAUCCCGGGGCUCAACUCCGGGGCUGCAGGUGAGACUGCAUGGCUAGAGCACGGUAGAGGCGAGUGGAAUUCCCGGUGUAGCGGUGGAAUGCGUAGAUAUCGGGAAGAACACCGGUGGCGAAGGCGGCUCGCUGGGCCGUUGCUGACGCUGAGGCGCGAAAGCGUGGGGAGCAAACAGG
rnacentral:rRNA from 1 species